rnacentral:rRNA from 1 species
AUUGAACGCUGGCGGCAGGCCUAACACAUGCAAGUCGAGCGGAUGAAGGGAGCUUGCUCCUGGAUUCAGCGGCGGACGGGUGAGUAAUGCCUAGGAAUCUGCCUGGUAGUGGGGGAUAACGUCCGGAAACGGGCGCUAAUACCGCAUACGUCCUGAGGGAGAAAGUGGGGGAUCUUCGGACCUCACGCUAUCAGAUGAGCCUAGGUCGGAUUAGCUAGUUGGUGGGGUAAAGGCCUACCAAGGCGACGAUCCGUAACUGGUCUGAGAGGAUGAUCAGUCACACUGGAACUGAGACACGGUCCACACUCCUAUGGGAGGCAGCAGUGGGGAAUAUUGGACAAUGGGCGAAAGCCUGAUCCAGCCAUGCCGCGUGUGUGAAGAAGGUCUUCGGAUUGUAAAGCACUUUAAGUUGGGAGGAAGGGCAGUAAGUUAAUACCUUGCUGUUUUGACGUUACCAACAGAAUAAGCACCGGCUAACUUCGUG